AAAUAUUUGGAUAUAUAAAAAAUAUAUCCAAAGCGGGCACGACGCAAAAGUCUAAAAAAGUUCGGAUCUAUAAAGGGUCUCAGAAGACUGGGAGGAGUAAAAAAAGGUAAAAUUAAAAAAAGAAGGCUUAUCACGGAUCUCUAGGCACUCAAAGGCGAUGAAGGGCGUUUAGACCAACGAAAAUGCUUUGUGGAGUAGGCUAAAAUGCUAGGAUACAAAGAUUCCCGAAUAGGGCAACCUAAUAAACUCUCUUGAGAAUUCAUAAUCAAGACAAGAGCUAACGCACUGAACUGAAACCUCUUAGUAAGUGUAGGAAAAGAAAACAAAAGUGAUUUUUUGAGUAGCGGCGAGCGAAAAAACAGCCUAAACCGAUCUAUAAAUAUCGACAUUAAAGACGAUUUGAAAAAAGCCGUAUUGCAAUUUUAAUUUGUCUAUAUAAAAAAGACAACGUAAGGGCUGCAAAAGGUAAAAAUAGACGGGGUAGUUGGGAUUAGAGAAAAUGAGCAGAAGAAAGACUAGGUUAUUAUUCCACGUGGAAUAAUAAGUCCACGUGGAAUAAGAACGGAAAGAAUUUUGAAUUUUAAAUGAAAUGAAUGAAAAUACAUACCAUAGAUGGUGAUAAGUCCAGUAAUUUAAACAUGCUAAAAAACUAGCGGCCAAAACUUUGUUCUUUGAACAAUCAUGUGGCCGCGACAUGUAUACUAGCAUUUCUGUAAUUCCCGAGUAGCAUGAGACACGUGAAAUCUCGUGUGAAUCAGCGAGGACCACCUCGUAAGGCUAAAUACUCUUGAGUGACCGAUAGCGAAAUAGUACCGUGAGGGAAAGAUGAAAAGCACACCUGAAAAGGAUGAUAUGAAAUAGAACGUGAAAUGGUAAGCUGAUAAGCAGUGGGAGGAAAAAGGAGUAUAAUAUUUCUGACCGCGUGCCUGUUGAAGAAUGUGUCGGCGAGUUCAAUAAAGUGGCUUUUGAUUCAAGUCGAAGCGAAAGCGAGUUUUAAAAAAAAAGCAUAUCUAUGUCACUUUAUUGAGACCCGAACCUGCCUGAUCUAAUCAAGGCCAGGAGGAAUCGCUGGUAAUACAGCUGAGGAAGUCCGAACCGACCAAUGUUGAAAAAUUGCCGGAUGAGCCUUGAUUUGCGAGUUUCUGAAAAGUAGCUCCUUUUAAAAAUUUUAAAAGUACAAAUUAAAAUAAUUGCAAAACAUUACUCACCCGCUUUGCAAUAUAUCAUAUAAAAGAAUAUGGAAAUUUAGCGGCGCAAAAUAAUAAAUAUUAUUUUCAAGUAAAAAAAUUUGCAGCCCAUGGCCCCUGCGUCUCAACGACGCGGGAGCCGUAGGUUCAGAGAUUAUUAAAUUUUAACAUGUAGCAAUUAUUUUUAUGGUUUUGUGUCGGUUGUAUUCAAAUUCAUUUAAAUACGACAUAAACCUAUAUAUUUAAGAUUGACUUACAUGAUGAAAUAAUCCGAUCUUCUUUUUGUAUAUACAAAAAGAAGAACUAUUGGAAAAGCUAAUCGAAGGCAGAGCUAGCUGGUUCUCUCCGAAAUGCGUUUAGGCGCAGCAUAUGGUGAUGGAAUUUUUUUUAGGGUUAAAAGUCAACUAAGACUCAGCCCAAUAAAAUUUAAGAUUUUAUUAAAAUUUAAAUAAAAAAAUUAAAUAGAUUGCAAGAAUCUACGACUUAAAUUUCUAAGUGGUGGGAAUUUGCAGCCUAAUAUGUUCGUCUUUUUUUACCUCCACGCUUUGCAUGGUCCUCUCGCUCGCGAGGGACCAUGCAAAACAGUGGAUAGCGGUUAUACCCUCGGGUAUAACCAGCCAUAGAUCGCUUUUGGGUCGUGCCCGCAUUCGAUAUAUUAAUAAUAUAUCGAAUGCGGGGCCAAAGCCAUAUAUAGGCUUUUGUCCUUGUAUUCGAAAGCUUUUUAAGCUCUCGAAUGAGCGUGAAAUAAAAACAUAUUAAGUUCAGAGACUAAAAAUUAACAUGUGAAUUUAUUUAUCUAAACCAAAAGCAAUAACUAUUUAAUUUGUAACGCAAAAAUUUAGAUAUAUAAAAUACUCUUGAAAAAUAGUCCGAUUGUUUUAAUUAAAAAAUGAACUCAUUAAUCUUGAAUGAGUUUAAAUUAAAACAAUUGAGAGCUCUGAUUUCGUGCGGGCGAUGUGAAUUGUACCAAACGAAAAUAAACUUCGAAUACAAAAAAUACCACCAUAUAGUGGGAGCAAUGAGGAUAAGCGCAUUGCUCGAAAGGAAACAGCCCGAAUCACUAGUUAAGGCCCCUAAAUGAAUUGCUAAGUGUUAAAGGAAGUGGAAGAUCAAGAGAGUCAGAAAGUACGCUCGGAAGCAGCUAUCUUUUAAAGAGGAAGCGUAAAACACACUGACAGAUGCGUCUCAUCGCACCUAAAAUGUAUGGGACUAAGCAAUUUGCCGAAACUGUGAGAGAUUUUUUAGCGAGAUUUUUCGAAUUUAAAAGCUAUAGGCUUUAAAAUUCGAAAAAAUAUGAUACCGCAUCUUUGAUAGUCUUUACUAUCAAAGAUGCGGCAUGUAGAUCCGUUACAAAACGGAACCGUAAAAUGGAAAAAGAGAGAAAAUCGAUAAUAUAUAAUAUAUUAUAGAUUUAUAAAAGCCCAUAAACUAAAAAUUCUAAAUCUCGGUAGGAGAGCGUUGUGCAGUAUAAUACUACUACCGCAGUGAUGUAUAUAAAACUCCUAAAUACCCCGCUCUGUUGUAUUCACCGUAGAGCGGGGAGUAAAGUUUAUCUCUCUAAAGCUCUUACUCGUAAGAGAAAAAAGAUAGGAUAAAGGAGUAGUUAAUGCACAAGUGAUAAUGUCGACUUGAGUAACGAAAAGGGAGGUGAGAAUCCUACUCCCCGAAAAUCCAAGGUUUUCUUUAUUUUAUAUUUAAAAUAGGCUUGUCCAUAAAGAGUUGACAUAAGCUCCAUCUUUAAGUUAAUGCAGCAUAAAUUAAAGAACGAAAAUCAAAAAUUGCGAGAAUCUCCGGCCCCUGGGCCGAGAAAUUCACAUCCUUUUAUUUAUAAAAGGUUCAGAGACUAUUAAACUUUUGCUUCAUAUAUUCAUGAAGAUGAUAAAGUCCUUAUAGUCUAUAAAUAGACUAGUUUUAAGUAGUCAGCACCUAAGAUGAGGUUGAAAAACGUAGUCGAUUGGUAAUCAAGUUAAUAUUCUUGAACUAAACUGGGUUUCUAAAUAUUGUCGAAGAUUUCUCUAUUUCCUUCACUUGCUACUCUCCCUUACCUUGGGAGAGAAAACAAGAAUAGAAAUAAAGAUUUCUUUUGUGAAAUUUACAAAUUUCUCAUAUCAUUCUUUCAAAUAUAUAGGCCUUUGGCCUAUAUAUCGCGUUGCCCUCUCCCUUAUUAUAUUCUAUAUAAGAAGGGGGGAGAGUAAAUAAUAGAAUAUAGGUAAUUUCUAUUAGAUGAUAUAUUAAGAAAUUUUUAAAUACUAGCCGUACCUAACACAGAAGGACGAAAUUACGUGUCACGAAGUAUUUAAUAGGUUUUUCCAGCACGUAAAUCGGAUUAGUUAAAAAAAAUAUUCCGAGUUUUCCAAGAAAACUUCUGAGUGAAAUUUACAGCUCUUCUUUUGGAGAGAUAAUGAUUCAUGUAGAACAGUUUAGCUGUACCCGAAACUGACACAGGUGGAUAAGUAGAGUAUACUAAGGGGUCUAUCUUAUGGCCCGAUCAUGUUAUAAAUACAUGAAAGAUAGUACGCUCGCGUGGCUUGCUAAUCAAAAAAAUUGCAAGAAUUUUAUGAACGAAAUUUUUUAUAAAUUUUAAACUUGCAGCCUUAAAAAUUUUAUUUUUGGUCUUUUUGAAUAGUGGUCUCCUUGCUUGCAAGGAGACCUCUCAAAACGACGAAGCAAGCGAGUCUUUUUGAAUAUCAAAACACGACGACACAAGCUAGUCUUUUAAGAAUUUUUAGCUCCACGCUUUGCAUUAAAAGGCAAAACGGGGCAGUGGAUAUUCAAAAAGACGACACAAGCUGGUCUUUAAGAACUUUUAAGAACUUUUUUUGGAUAUGAAUUUUUUAGGUUUAACGACUAAUAAUUUGACAUCUAAUAGUAUUUUUAUUCAAAACUAAAAAAUUAAUGCCAUAUAUAAACCAAAGGUUUAUCUAUGACAUUAAAUAUUGGGAUAUAUAAAAAUAAAAGAUGAUUACAUAGUCUUAUAAGCAAAUAAAAAGUUUGCAAUAUAUGCGAGAUAACAAUUUUCAAGGAAUUCGGCAAAUUGACUCUGUACCUUCGGAAGAAAGAGUACCAUACUUGAUCAAAAUACUGUCAAGUUGGUCGCAGUGAAAUGGCUUGGGGGACUGUUUAGGUCUGUGUACUUGAACCGUUAUUAUAAAAAAAUUCUUUUUUUAUAAUUUUGUAAAUUAAACUAAAUGCUGGGAAAUAAUUAAAUAUUAAUACUUAAAUAUCUCGUUUAUUAUAUGUUGUAUUUCUCUCUUCACCUGGGGAGAGAAAUAUUUAACUGACUCACUUUACUAAAUAAUAAAUGUUAUAAUAGUUAAAAAUUUAAUAUAUUCUUUAAAUUUUUAAAGAAUUAAAAUAAUCAGCAUCUCCCUUUAUAGGAUGGGAGGUCAAAGACUACAUGUUUAAUAUUUUUAUUAUUAUAAAGCUUUCUUUGAUUCCGUCUUGACGGAAUCAAAGAAAUCGACGCCCUCUGGGCUCGCAAGGCAGCCGGAGGAAAGAAAAAUGGCGGCUUUUUAUAAUAAAAAUAAUGAUAUAGUCUGAGCUUUAAUUGUCUUAACAAGCCGGCGGUUAAAGUAAAUAUCAAUUUAAAUAAAAAUUUAUAAAAUUUUAUCCAAUACUUCUAUUUAUGUUAAAAAAUCCUUUUGUUUUAGCCCAAGAAUUGUUUGAUAUCUUUAUAGCUAAUAUGCUUGGAGACGGUUCUUUAGAUGGUUAUGAAGGCGUUUUUAAAAAAACAGCUCGUUUUAUUUAUGCUCAAACCGCACGAGAUCCAAAUAAGGUUUUAUUUAUGGAACAUAUUUAUAGCAAAUAUCAAUCUCUUACUGCCAAAAGAUUUUCACUUCGUACUGUAAUAGCAGAUGGUAUUGAAUAUCAACAGUAUAGAUUUGAAACUAGAAAAUAUAAAGAGUUUUUCCUUAUUUUAAUAUGUUUUAUUACAAAGAUAAAAAUGGUAAAACAAAAAAUACUUUCUUCAAAUAUUAAAGAUUUUUAAAUGGACGAGUUUUAGCUUAUUGGUUUAUGGAUGAUGGAGGUGCUGCUGAUAUUUCCAAUUCAAGAUCUUUAGAGAUUAGUACUCAUUCUUUUACUUUUGAAGAAACUCUUUAUUUAUGUCGUAUAUUAACCUUCAAAUUUGGGAUUGAGUGUUGGCCUCAAAAAAAUACUAAACCUGGUAAAAUAUAUUAUAGGCUUUAUAUUAGUGGUAGAAGUUUUUCAACCGUUAUGAAAUUAAUGGGUCCUUAUAUUUUUGAAAGCAUGAAGUAUAAAUUACCUAAAUUACCAGAUAGAGAAUCUCCAACAACUACAGUUGGUCAAAUUUUCGAGGGACGUUUUAAUCGUUUGGUAAAUUUUGAUUUAAAGUCUAAAAGGUGGGAAGUAAAAGAAGUAAUAUGGAAGGAUGAAAUUCGUACUCAACUCGUUGAAGAACGAAUUACUUUUAUAAAAAAAAAUGUUGCGUCUUUGUAUUUUGAAAAAUAUUGUAAUAAAUACAAGGAUACUAUUUAAAUUGAUUUAACAAUUACUGACUAAAAACACAGGUCUCCGCAAAGUUGAAUAAACAAUGUAUGGGGGCUGACGCCUGCCCAGUGUCAGUAGGUUAAGUGCGAGGGUGCAAGCUCUCAAUCGAAGCCCUGUAUCAACGGCGGUCCUAACUCUGAGGAUCCUAAGGUUACACAAUCGCUAGCUUUAGUAAAAUAAAACUAUAUGUUGAGACAUUUUUAAAUUAUCUGUACUAUACUAUAAAUAAUUCUAAACUUGACGCUAUAUAUAUAUGCAAGAGCUAUAUAUAUAGACGCGAAAGCUAUAUAUAUAUAUGCAAGAGCUAUAUAUAGACGCGAAAGCUAUUUAUUAUCUUUCUCCGAAACGGAGAGAGAGCCAACCACGUAGAGUGGGGUACUAAAAGUAAAAAUCAUAUAAUAUAAUUAAAAUAAUCAACAGGAAAAAAAAUCCUUAGAGACUUUAUGUAUUCAUUCCACGUUCUUCGGCCUAUGGUUCUUUGAACGAUGGGUCACAGAACGGGGCAUUAACAAAUUUCUUUAUGGAAAUUUUGUAAGAUAAAGUCCAGCUAUUUAUGUGAAUAAAUAGAAAAUCUGAGCGAAAUUCAUUGGCACAUAAUUGGUUGUUAUGACAGCCCUGUAGAAUUUUAUAUUUUAUAUGAAUUAAAUAAAUUGCAAGAACUAAUGAAUUAAAUAAUUCGUUACAAUUUGCAGCAAAAUCAUAGCCCCAUGAAAAUAUGGUACUUUGAAUUGUUCAGAGACUAAAAUUAAAAUUGAUAAUUUAAUUUAUUAGUUAUGACAUAGUUCGUGCUACAAUGAAAAUUGUGGGUUACAUGGUCCUGCACAAAUGGCGUAACCAUCCAAGCACUGUCUCGAAAAUUGACUCGGUGAAAUAGACCUGUCCGUGAAGAUGCGGACUCGACAUAUCUAGACGGAAAGACCCUUGAAGCUUUAUUGCAAUUUGAGAUUGAGUUUAAGUUUUUCUUGCGCAGCCUAGGUGGGAGGCGAUGAUGAUUUUUUUCCGGAAAAAUAGUAGCCAACAGUGAGAGACCACUCUGGAAGAAUUUGAACUCUAAAAGUAUAUUACCAAAUCAUCAGGUUACUCUACAGUCUCAAAUGGGUAAUUUAAAUGGGGAAUUUAUUUUUUAAAAGGUAACAAAAAUGUACAAAGGUUUCCUCAAGCUGGAUGGAAAUCAGCUAUUGAGUGUAAAGGCAGAAGGAAGCUUGACUGCGAGAAUGACACUUCAAGCAGGGACGAAAGUCGGUCUUAGUGAUCCGACAAUUUUGAGUGGAAAAGUUGUCGCUCAUCGGCUAAAAGCUACUCUAGGGAUUAACUAUACUGUAAGUCCCAUAUAGUUGUAACCCGUCGCGCUUUAAAAUUUUUGAUUAAAAUUUUUGAUUAAAAUUUUUGAUUUAAUAGCGCGAGUUUUAAAACUAUUUCCACCCUCCGCUUUCUCUUCACCAACCGUGAAAAGAGAUCGGAGGGGUAGCAACCAAACCUUUUCCCGUUCCGUAUUAUAUACGGAUAAAAGGUGGGAUGGUCAAGUAAAUUGCAAAAAAACAAUCAUGUAAAUUUGCAUCCAAUUCAAAAGGGAUCAACGACUAAGAUACUUGAAAUCUUUAUAAUAAAGAUAAUGACAUAGUCUGAACUUUUAUGCUCUUUUAAAAAAGCGUAAAAGAAUGGCCCACCGUCCUCCGGACGGUGAGCCGAUUAACAAUAUUGAACAGGCUAGUUUUGGUCAAGAGACCUUAUCGACACCAAAGUUCGGCACCUCGUGAUGAAUGGGGUCAGUUAAUAACUGUAAAAAAUAAACUAAAUGCUAAAAAAUUUUUGAAUUACAUAUACUUUUUUUACUGCCCCGCUUUGCAUUUUAAUGCAAAGGGUGGAGCUAAUAUAUUUGAAUAUUAUAUUGUUAAUGUGUUAUUAUAUUUAAUAGCAUGAAAUUUACAAUUCUAUAAAGUAAAACUAUGUUUUCUGUUAAACAUGCGGAACCAAAAUAAUUAGCAUCUAACGCUAUUUUAAUAGCGGGAGAUUAACGACUACACGUUUAUUCUAUAUUCAUAUAGAAUGAUAUAGUCUGAACUUUUAUAUGGGUGGCUCAGCAAAGCCGAUUAUAAAAGAAAAAAAAAUUUAUUAUAUAUUAUAAUAUAUUAAAAUUAAACAUUAUUGCGAUGUCGUCUCGUCCUAGCUUGGUAAACACUUGCCAAUACUACUCUAUAUGAGUAAUAUAUCUAAUAGCUUAAACGAAAGAAAUCUGGAAAAAAAGAAAUAUCCAGACAAUUUCGUACCAAAAUUCGAAUGAAUUAGGUCUAACGACCAUUAUAUAAAGUAAACUUUAUUUACGAUGCCGCAUCUUAUAAUGGGGAAAAAGAAUCCUGCCAUUUAAUGAAAUCCGCCGGCUGCCUCGCGAGCCCAAAGGGCGUCGAUUUCUUUGAUUCUUUUUUUCCCAAGCUUUUUUAAAAAGCGAAGCGCUUUUUUUAAAAGCGAAGCUAUCAAGGUUUUGAUCUGUCUCUCUUCUCUUAAAAAGAGAGACAGAUCAAAACCUUGACUACGAGCAAAGCAAAGUUUAAAUAGCUAAAUCUCCCCCUCCGGGAGAGAUAAGACAUGGUCUAAACUUCAAAGAAACUUGAAGCAGACAAAUUUAAUGUUUGUCGAAAAAAAUCUUAUUUUUUUGAAUCAUUUGAUUGUAGCAGGUACCAAGAGUAAGACUGUUCGUCUUUUAAAAGGGUUGUUCUCACACAGCCCCCUAGAAUCUUAGAUUUUUUGAAAAUUAAAUAAAUUGCAAAGAAGUUUAAAAUAAAGCCAGUUUGCAGCCUUAUUUAUAUGUUCAUUGAUAUAGACAUGGCCCCCGAAAACGGAGGGCCGUGCGGUAAAAAUUUUUGAUAAAUUGACAUAUGAACGAGGUUCAGAGAGUAGAUAUUUAACGUUAUUUUUUUUAGAUUGACGAUUACAUAGUCCAUGGUUCAAUUAAAGUUGGGCGGCACCAUGACGUGAGAUAAAAUUAACCAGUCUCCUUUAGUUAAAAAACUAAAAUACUACCCAGGGUAGCCGUCUUUUUUAAAAGCGAUGGGGAAAAGAAAUCUUCGAUUUCUUUUCCCCCAGCAAAGCGAAGCUAUCAAGGUUUUGAUCUGUAUCUCUUCUCUUAAAAAGAAGAGAUACAGAUCAAAACCUUGAUAACGAGCAAAGCGAAGUUUAUUGCAAAAAAACAUGACCCAGGGUCGAUGUAAAUUUGCAGCCAAUAUAAUAUGACCUCUAAAAUUAUAAUAAAAUACGGGAGGUCGUAUUGGUUCAACGACUAAUAUACCUUUAUUCUUUUUUCAAAGAAAAUGACAUAGUCUGAACUUUUAUGUAAAUAAAAGAAACAAUUUUGGGGUUUAAAACGUCGUGAGACAGUUUGGUCGCUAUCUGAUAUGUCAAAUUGGAAUACAUAGAAGUUUUCUCCCUCGUACGAGAGGAACGGGGCCAACAGGUUUGGUAUUAGCCAAAAGUUAGUCCUUUUGGUGUCUGCAGUGUAUCUUUCUAGCAUGUCCUCGAUAGACUCAUCGUCCUAGGACGGUCUAAAUUUACCAUCCUCUAUAGACCCACCAUUACCAACCGUCCAAAGGACGGUGUUGGCCCACCGUCCAAAAGACGGUGGGCCAUGCAGAGUGGCAUGGCGACAAAAGAUUACUCAGUAAGCCGUGAAAAGUGUCAAUGGUGUACGAGUUAUGGAUUCUUGAAAUCUGUAGUCGCUUGGUAGCUAAACACUUCUCGAUAACCACUGAAGACAUCUUAAAGUGGGAAGCGUCCUUCGAUUUGUAUUCCGGAGACCACUCCAAGACAAGGAAUAUACUAUUAUACCAAAUAUUUGGAUAUAUAAAAAAUAUAUCCAAAGCGGGCACGACGCAAAAGUCUAAAAAAGUUCGGAUCUAUAAAGGGUCUCAGAAGACUGGGAGGAGUAAAAAAAGGUAAAAUUAAAAAAAGAAGGCUUAUCACGGAUCUCUAGGCACUCAAAGGCGAUGAAGGGCGUUUAGACCAACGAAAAUGCUUUGUGGAGUAGGCUAAAAUGCUAGGAUACAAAGAUUCCCGAAUAGGGCAACCUAAUAAACUCUCUUGAGAAUUCAUAAUCAAGACAAGAGCUAACGCACUGAACUGAAACCUCUUAGUAAGUGUAGGAAAAGAAAACAAAAGUGAUUUUUUGAGUAGCGGCGAGCGAAAAAACAGCCUAAACCGAUCUAUAAAUAUCGACAUUAAAGACGAUUUGAAAAAAGCCGUAUUGCAAUUUUAAUUUGUCUAUAUAAAAAAGACAACGUAAGGGCUGCAAAAGGUAAAAAUAGACGGGGUAGUUGGGAUUAGAGAAAAUGAGCAGAAGAAAGACUAGGUUAUUAUUCCACGUGGAAUAAUAAGUCCACGUGGAAUAAGAACGGAAAGAAUUUUGAAUUUUAAAUGAAAUGAAUGAAAAUACAUACCAUAGAUGGUGAUAAGUCCAGUAAUUUAAACAUGCUAAAAAACUAGCGGCCAAAACUUUGUUCUUUGAACAAUCAUGUGGCCGCGACAUGUAUACUAGCAUUUCUGUAAUUCCCGAGUAGCAUGAGACACGUGAAAUCUCGUGUGAAUCAGCGAGGACCACCUCGUAAGGCUAAAUACUCUUGAGUGACCGAUAGCGAAAUAGUACCGUGAGGGAAAGAUGAAAAGCACACCUGAAAAGGAUGAUAUGAAAUAGAACGUGAAAUGGUAAGCUGAUAAGCAGUGGGAGGAAAAAGGAGUAUAAUAUUUCUGACCGCGUGCCUGUUGAAGAAUGUGUCGGCGAGUUCAAUAAAGUGGCUUUUGAUUCAAGUCGAAGCGAAAGCGAGUUUUAAAAAAAAAGCAUAUCUAUGUCACUUUAUUGAGACCCGAACCUGCCUGAUCUAAUCAAGGCCAGGAGGAAUCGCUGGUAAUACAGCUGAGGAAGUCCGAACCGACCAAUGUUGAAAAAUUGCCGGAUGAGCCUUGAUUUGCGAGUUUCUGAAAAGUAGCUCCUUUUAAAAAUUUUAAAAGUACAAAUUAAAAUAAUUAUCUUCUUUUUGUAUAUACAAAAAGAAGAACUAUUGGAAAAGCUAAUCGAAGGCAGAGCUAGCUGGUUCUCUCCGAAAUGCGUUUAGGCGCAGCAUAUGGUGAUGGAAUUUUUUUUAGGGUUAAAAGUCAACUAAGACUCAGCCCAAUAAAAUUUAAGAUUUUAUUAAAAUUUAAAUAAAAAAAUUAAAUAGAUUGCAAGAAUCUACGACUUAAAUUUCUAAGUGGUGGGAAUUUGCAGCCUAAUAUGUUCGUCUUUUUUUACCUCCACGCUUUGCAUGGUCCUCUCGCUCGCGAGGGACCAUGCAAAACAGUGGAUAGCGGUUAUACCCUCGGGUAUAACCAGCCAUAGAUCGCAGUCCGAUUGUUUUAAUUAAAAAAUGAACUCAUUAAUCUUGAAUGAGUUUAAAUUAAAACAAUUGAGAGCUCUGAUUUCGUGCGGGCGAUGUGAAUUGUACCAAACGAAAAUAAACUUCGAAUACAAAAAAUACCACCAUAUAGUGGGAGCAAUGAGGAUAAGCGCAUUGCUCGAAAGGAAACAGCCCGAAUCACUAGUUAAGGCCCCUAAAUGAAUUGCUAAGUGUUAAAGGAAGUGGAAGAUCAAGAGAGUCAGAAAGUACGCUCGGAAGCAGCUAUCUUUUAAAGAGGAAGCGUAAAACACACUGACAGAUGCGUCUCAUCGCACCUAAAAUGUAUGGGACUAAGCAAUUUGCCGAAACUGUGAGAGAUUUUUUAGCGAGAUUUUUCGAAUUUAAAAGCUAUAGGCUUUAAAAUUCGAAAAAAUAUGAUACCGCAUCUUUGAUAGUCUUUACUAUCAAAGAUGCGGCAUGUAGAUCCGUUACAAAACGGAACCGUAAAAUGGAAAAAGAGAGAAAAUCGAUAAUAUAUAAUAUAUUAUAGAUUUAUAAAAGCCCAUAAACUAAAAAUUCUAAAUCUCGGUAGGAGAGCGUUGUGCAGUAUAAUACUACUACCGCAGUGAUGUAUAUAAAACUCCUAAAUACCCCGCUCUGUUGUAUUCACCGUAGAGCGGGGAGUAAAGUUUAUCUCUCUAAAGCUCUUACUCGUAAGAGAAAAAAGAUAGGAUAAAGGAGUAGUUAAUGCACAAGUGAUAAUGUCGACUUGAGUAACGAAAAGGGAGGUGAGAAUCCUACUCCCCGAAAAUCCAAGGUUUUCUUUAUUUUAUAUUUAAAAUAGGCUUGUCCAUAAAGAGUUGACAUAAGCUCCAUCUUUAAGUUAAUGCAGCAUAAAUUAAAGAACGAAAAUCAAAAAUUGCGAGAAUCUCCGGCCCCUGGGCCGAGAAAUUCACAUCCUUUUAUUUAUAAAAGGUUCAGAGACUAUUAAACUUUUGCUUCAUAUAUUCAUGAAGAUGAUAAAGUCCUUAUAGUCUAUAAAUAGACUAGUUUUAAGUAGUCAGCACCUAAGAUGAGGUUGAAAAACGUAGUCGAUUGGUAAUCAAGUUAAUAUUCUUGAACUAAACUGGGUUUCUAAAUAUUGUCGAAGAUUUCUCUAUUUCCUUCACUUGCUACUCUCCCUUACCUUGGGAGAGAAAACAAGAAUAGAAAUAAAGAUUUCUUUUGUGAAAUUUACAAAUUUCUCAUAUCAUUCUUUCAAAUAUAUAGGCCUUUGGCCUAUAUAUCGCGUUGCCCUCUCCCUUAUUAUAUUCUAUAUAAGAAGGGGGGAGAGUAAAUAAUAGAAUAUAGGUAAUUUCUAUUAGAUGAUAUAUUAAGAAAUUUUUAAAUACUAGCCGUACCUAACACAGAAGGACGAAAUUACGUGUCACGAAGUAUUUAAUAGGUUUUUCCAGCACGUAAAUCGGAUUAGUUAAAAAAAAUAUUCCGAGUUUUCCAAGAAAACUUCUGAGUGAAAUUUACAGCUCUUCUUUUGGAGAGAUAAUGAUUCAUGUAGAACAGUUUAGCUGUACCCGAAACUGACACAGGUGGAUAAGUAGAGUAUACUAAGGGGUCUAUCUUAUGGCCCGAUCAUGUUAUAAAUACAUGAAAGAUAGUACGCUCGCGUGGCUUGCUAAUCAAAAAAAUUGCAAGAAUUUUAUGAACGAAAUUUUUUAUAAAUUUUAAACUUGCAGCCUUAAAAAUUUUAUUUUUGGUCUUUUUGAAUAGUGGUCUCCUUGCUUGCAAGGAGACCUCUCAAAACGACGAAGCAAGCGAGUCUUUUUGAAUAUCAAAACACGACGACACAAGCUAGUCUUUUAAGAAUUUUUAGCUCCACGCUUUGCAUUAAAAGGCAAAACGGGGCAGUGGAUAUUCAAAAAGACGACACAAGCUGGUCUUUAAGAACUUUUAAGAACUUUUUUUGGAUAUGAAUUUUUUAGGUUUAACGACUAAUAAUUUGACAUCUAAUAGUAUUUUUAUUCAAAACUAAAAAAUUAAUGCCAUAUAUAAACCAAAGGUUUAUCUAUGACAUUAAAUAUUGGGAUAUAUAAAAAUAAAAGAUGAUUACAUAGUCUUAUAAGCAAAUAAAAAGUUUGCAAUAUAUGCGAGAUAACAAUUUUCAAGGAAUUCGGCAAAUUGACUCUGUACCUUCGGAAGAAAGAGUACCAUACUUGAUCAAAAUACUGUCAAGUUGGUCGCAGUGAAAUGGCUUGGGGGACUGUUUUGACUAAAAACACAGGUCUCCGCAAAGUUGAAUAAACAAUGUAUGGGGGCUGACGCCUGCCCAGUGUCAGUAGGUUAAGUGCGAGGGUGCAAGCUCUCAAUCGAAGCCCUGUAUCAACGGCGGUCCUAACUCUGAGGAUCCUAAGGUUACACAAUCGCUAGCUUUAGUAAAAUAAAACUAUAUGUUGAGACAUUUUUAAAUUAUCUGUACUAUACUAUAAAUAAUUCUAAACUUGACGCUAGCUAUUUAUGUGAAUAAAUAGAAAAUCUGAGCGAAAUUCAUUGGCACAUAAUUGGUUGUUAUGACAGCCCUGUAGAAUUUUAUAUUUUAUAUGAAUUAAAUAAAUUGCAAGAACUAAUGAAUUAAAUAAUUCGUUACAAUUUGCAGCAAAAUCAUAGCCCCAUGAAAAUAUGGUACUUUGAAUUGUUCAGAGACUAAAAUUAAAAUUGAUAAUUUAAUUUAUUAGUUAUGACAUAGUUCGUGCUACAAUGAAAAUUGUGGGUUACAUGGUCCUGCACAAAUGGCGUAACCAUCCAAGCACUGUCUCGAAAAUUGACUCGGUGAAAUAGACCUGUCCGUGAAGAUGCGGACUCGACAUAUCUAGACGGAAAGACCCUUGAAGCUUUAUUGCAAUUUGAGAUUGAGUUUAAGUUUUUCUUGCGCAGCCUAGGUGGGAGGCGAUGAUGAUUUUUUUCCGGAAAAAUAGUAGCCAACAGUGAGAGACCACUCUGGAAGAAUUUGAACUCUAAAAGUAUAUUACCAAAUCAUCAGGUUACUCUACAGUCUCAAAUGGGUAAUUUAAAUGGGGAAUUUAUUUUUUAAAAGGUAACAAAAAUGUACAAAGGUUUCCUCAAGCUGGAUGGAAAUCAGCUAUUGAGUGUAAAGGCAGAAGGAAGCUUGACUGCGAGAAUGACACUUCAAGCAGGGACGAAAGUCGGUCUUAGUGAUCCGACAAUUUUGAGUGGAAAAGUUGUCGCUCAUCGGCUAAAAGCUACUCUAGGGAUUAACUAUACUGUAAGUCCCAUAUAGUUGUAACCCGUCGCGCUUUAAAAUUUUUGAUUAAAAUUUUUGAUUAAAAUUUUUGAUUUAAUAGCGCGAGUUUUAAAACUAUUUCCACCCUCCGCUUUCUCUUCACCAACCGUGAAAAGAGAUCGGAGGGGUAGCAACCAAACCUUUUCCCGUUCCGUAUUAUAUACGGAUAAAAGGUGGGAUGGUCAAGUAAAUUGCAAAAAAACAAUCAUGUAAAUUUGCAUCCAAUUCAAAAGGGAUCAACGACUAAGAUACUUGAAAUCUUUAUAAUAAAGAUAAUGACAUAGUCUGAACUUUUAUGCUCUUUUAAAAAAGCGUAAAAGAAUGGCCCACCGUCCUCCGGACGGUGAGCCGAUUAACAAUAUUGAACAGGCUAGUUUUGGUCAAGAGACCUUAUCGACACCAAAGUUCGGCACCUCGAUGUCGUCUCGUCCUAGCUUGGUAAACACUUGCCAAUACUACUCUAUAUGAGUAAUAUAUCUAAUAGCUUAAACGAAAGAAAUCUGGAAAAAAAGAAAUAUCCAGACAAUUUCGUACCAAAAUUCGAAUGAAUUAGGUCUAACGACCAUUAUAUAAAGUAAACUUUAUUUACGAUGCCGCAUCUUAUAAUGGGGAAAAAGAAUCCUGCCAUUUAAUGAAAUCCGCCGGCUGCCUCGCGAGCCCAAAGGGCGUCGAUUUCUUUGAUUCUUUUUUUCCCAAGCUUUUUUAAAAAGCGAAGCGCUUUUUUUAAAAGCGAAGCUAUCAAGGUUUUGAUCUGUCUCUCUUCUCUUAAAAAGAGAGACAGAUCAAAACCUUGACUACGAGCAAAGCAAAGUUUAAAUAGCUAAAUCUCCCCCUCCGGGAGAGAUAAGACAUGGUCUAAACUUCAAAGAAACUUGAAGCAGACAAAUUUAAUGUUUGUCGAAAAAAAUCUUAUUUUUUUGAAUCAUUUGAUUGUAGCAGGUACCAAGAGUAAGACUGUUCGUCUUUUAAAAGGGUACGUGAGAUAAAAUUAACCAGUCUCCUUUAGUUAAAAAACUAAAAUACUACCCAGGGUAGCCGUCUUUUUUAAAAGCGAUGGGGAAAAGAAAUCUUCGAUUUCUUUUCCCCCAGCAAAGCGAAGCUAUCAAGGUUUUGAUCUGUAUCUCUUCUCUUAAAAAGAAGAGAUACAGAUCAAAACCUUGAUAACGAGCAAAGCGAAGUUUAGAACUUUUAUGUAAAUAAAAGAAACAAUUUUGGGGUUUAAAACGUCGUGAGACAGUUUGGUCGCUAUCUGAUAUGUCAAAUUGGAAUACAUAGAAGUUUUCUCCCUCGUACGAGAGGAACGGGGCCAACAGGUUUGGUAUUAGCCAAAAGUUAGUCCUUUUGGUGUCUGCAGUGUAUCUUUCUAGCAUGUCCUCGAUAGACUCAUCGUCCUAGGACGGUCUAAAUUUACCAUCCUCUAUAGACCCACCAUUACCAACCGUCCAAAGGACGGUGUUGGCCCACCGUCCAAAAGACGGUGGGCCAUGCAGAGUGGCAUGGCGACAAAAGAUUACUCAGUAAGCCGUGAAAAGUGUCAAUGGUGUACGAGUUAUGGAUUCUUGAAAUCUGUAGUCGCUUGGUAGCUAAACACUUCUCGAUAACCACUGAAGACAUCUUAAAGUGGGAAGCGUCCUUCGAUUUGUAUUCCGGAGACCACUCCAAGACAAGGAAUAUACUAUUAUACC
rnacentral:rRNA from 1 species